rnacentral:lncRNA from 1 species
AAAACUUCAUUGUUUAUGUACAUCAAUAACACCCUAGAGUUGGAACGAUAAACCCUUUGUUCAUGAAGGAGAACAUUAAACGUGUUUAAUUAGAGAAAUAAAAGCAUGUGUUCUCUUUGCAGAUGAUGAUGAUGAUGAUGACACCAUGAGUCAGGAUCAGUUUGAGGGACCUCCUGGAGUGCAGCAGAGCACGGCGAUGGCAGCUCUCGCAGCCGGAGGUUCAGCAGCCAACAUUCAGUCAUCGGGUGGAGCGUCACAUGGUGGGCCAGCAGGGGGCGCUAUAGGGGGUGCUGCAGGUUUCGCUAGUCCUGGAUCUUCAGCUUUUCAGAGUUCUGCAGGUUCCUCAGGAGGAGAACUUCUUCCUCAGUCUAAAACUCCAGAACCUGAUGGAACUGAACCAGAAUCUGAGGGUAAUGGACAUAAACUUCUGAAUGGGGGCGGAGCUAGCAGUCAGUCAGGAGUUGUACAUGUUUUUGGAGAAGGAGCAUCUCAACUGCAGUCCACGGGAAGUGUUGAAUCUUCCAACUACAACGUGUGGCUCAGCCUCACAGGUGGCCUGACUCCGCCCACUCAGCGGGACACAACAGACCAAUCAGAAGCUGACCUCAUCCAUCUCAGUUUGGAGCCCCACCAAUCACAGCACAGCCUGGCCUUAGACUCCUCCCACUCUACAGGGGGCGGAGCCUCACCUCAUAGAGAGCUGACAGAUGGAAACGAUUCUCCAGACGUUAACGGAAACGGUCGAUUGAGCCUCAUGUCAGAGACUCACACAGUGAUCGACCUUCAGACGGUGAUGGCUGACCUUCACACAAACACAGGUGGUGUUGACUCAGUGACGCACUCUGACAUCACAGGUGUCAGCCAUGAUGUCACAGGUAUUUACUCACCCACAGACAUGGUUACCAUGGCAACUGGAACCGUAGCAAUGGAUACAGCGGCUCCAGCUGUGACGGAUCAGACGGCUGGUUCCAUCACAGAACAGUACAACCCAUCAGGUCAGGGUCCUGAAGGUGCAGAAAAUGUGGAACUGGAGGAUUCCUGCUGACUUUCACAUCAAACCUCAGGUCCAAAUCCUGCGUUUCCAGUUCCAGUGCGACAACCAAUCAGCUUGGUCCGGUAGCACUGGCCCCUCCCACUAGCUCUGGCCCCUGAGCAUCAUUGGCUGUAUUUAAUUGUUUUUAUUUUUGAGGAACCAAUGAGAGUAAAGCUCAGCUGACAUCAUGGCUGUAUUAUUUUAUAUGAAUAAAGAUUUUUGUUUUGAACA